rnacentral:rRNA from 1 species
CCUACGGGUGGCAGCAGUGAGGAAUAUUGGUCAAUGGACGAGAGUCUGAACCAGCCAAGUAGUGUGAAGGAUGACUGCCCUAUGGGUUGUAAACUUCUUUUAUAUGGGAAUAAAAUGUUCCACGUGUGGGAUUUUGUAUGUACCAUAUGAAUAAGGAUCGGCUAACUCCGUGCCAGCAGCCGCGGUAAUACGGAGGAUCCGAGCGUUAUCCGGAUUUAUUGGGUUUAAAGGGAGCGUAGGUGGAUUGUUAAGUCAGUUGUGAAAGUUUGCGGCUCAACCGUAAAAUUGCAGUUGAAACUGGCAGUCUUGAGUACAGUAGAGGUGGGCGGAAUGCGUGGUGUAGCGGUGAAAUGCUUAGAUAUCACGAAGAACUCCGAUUGCGAAGGCAGUUCACUGGACUGCAACUGACACUGAGGCUCGAAAGUGUGGGUAUCAAACAGGAUUAGAUACCCCAGUAGUC